GGGGGUUAGUGGUGGGAUUUAGAAAUUUACUAAAGUGAAGCAAGCAUCUAGGCUUUAUCACCAAACUAAUUUACUCAUAUUAAAAAUCUUCACUAUGUGACUAAUAUAAGAAGUUAGGGUUCGAACAUAGAGGUGCUAUACUUUGCUAAAAGAGGACUCUAGUCUCGUACUUCUGCUAACGCAGAGUUCAUAUCUUAUUACUUACUAGACUACAAAAAAACUGGUUCAUAUCGAACUUAAAAAUCUCAAUCUUACUGAUCUGAAAAUUCAGAUGGCUAAAUAUCAACUAAGUUCGAAAAUUCUUGAACAGUAUUUAUGAUUUGGU
rnacentral:lncRNA from 1 species